rnacentral:rRNA from 1 species
UAGGGAAUCUUCGGCAAUGGGGGCAACCCUGACCGAGCAACGCCGCGUGAGUGAAGAAGGUUUUCGGAUCGUAAAGCUCUGUUGUAAGAGAAGAACGUGUGUGAGAGUGGAAAGUUCACACAGUGACGGUAACUUACCAGAAAGGGACGGCUAACUACGUGCCAGCAGCCGCGGUAAUACGUAGGUCCCGAGCGUUGUCCGGAUUUAUUGGGCGUAAAGCGAGCGCAGGCGGUUUAAUAAGUCUGAAGUUAAGGGCAGUGGCUUAACCAUUGUUCGCUUUGGAAACUGUUAAACUUGAGUGCAGAAGGGGAGAGUGGAAUUCCAUGUGUAGCGGUGAAAUGCGUAGAUAUAUGGAGGAACACCGGUGGCGAAAGCGGCUCUCUGGUCUGUAACUGACGCUGAGGCUCGAAAGCGUGGGGAGCAAACAGG